UGUCGGGCUGGAAGUCACCGCUGGAGCUGAUUUUGGGAGACCGGGGCUUUUCGCCUGGGCUGGGCUGUCCGCUGGAACUGCUCUUACGCCUAUCCAUCCAAUUAUCACCCAUCCCACCUCUUGGAAUCUAUUCGUCCAAAAAAAUCCUUUCCGAAUCCAAUAUCUUCCAAGGGACCAAGAAUCAAACGUGGGCUCAUCAGCUAUAGCACUCUCCCUCAUGUGCCCUCGAUUGCUCGUCUGCUGUCGGUGGUCAGGCACUGUUCUGUAGCAGCGACGUCUUCUAUCAGGUGUUGUUCUCUCCUCUGGAACUGAGUCGUUAAAUCUUUUCGUUCCAGAUCGAUACCGUACCACGAUUGGGUACGCUCGAUCCAGAUCGAAAUUCUCUCGGGGGAGUUCGGGACUAAAAAAUUAUACAGAACAUACAUGAAAUACUGCUUUUGGCCUGAAACGUGUGCAAGAGAGACUGUUGUGGACACUUUGUAGUCGUUUGACGUUCAUAUCUGCCAACAUUGGAUAAAAGGCUUAAGAAGCUAAGAAUGGAAUGGAGCUGCCAACAUUGGAUUUAAAGAGUGAUGCAUUGCUGCGUUUAUAGAUGUAGCAAGUCAUUUUCCCUUUGUUCACCAUUCAAGUGGCUGCGUAAUUGAAGCAAGCUAUCAUCUCUUAGUUGUGAGCGAAUUUUUAGUGGCAGCCAAAGAUAUGAAUGCUGCUCAAACACAAGAUAGUUUUAUAAUGAAGCCUAUUGAUCAAAGAGAGCGCACCCGAAGUCGUAAUGAUGUUCUGACUCGUCGCCUGAAGAACCGAGAACGACAACGUAGGUAUAGGGCCCGGAAGCGCCUUGAAGCAGAUAUGAAGAAGCCUAGCAUCAUAAAGCAAUCAACUCCACCACAAGUGGAAGUGCAAAUGAAUGGAUUUGUUAGCAAUUAUGUACCCCGUGUGCACUGUAAACGAGAUUGGAAAAAGGAUGCAAGGAGGGCUCGUGUUUCUGAGUAUCCUGAAGUUACACCUAAUGGUUGUGGUGUCCUUACUCCUAUGUCAACCAGUGAGAGUCAAACUGUGUUAUUAUCUGGAACUACGGCAGAGCCACUAUUAGAUAGUGAAACCCAUUCCGAGAUAUCUGUGAACCAGAAUAACUUUGAAAUGCAUAGACCCAAACUGUGUCGAAGAGAUUGGAAAGCCGAUGCAAGGAAGAAGAAAAACUAAAGCAGAUGGAAGAUAACUCCUAACUGUUCCAUUUUGAUGGGAUGGUAACUUUAUGAAUAUUGGGCAGAUGACUCCUAACUAUUCUGUUUUGAUAGUAUGGAGUUGGUAUUGUCUAUCUACAUUUUCAACUUGUGCUCUUUACUGAUGUAUAAGGGAUGAGGAAAUAUGCAGCUAAGUUCAAAGUUGGUUAAGUAUUGGAUUGCAUAUGCGGAAGUCUAACAAUGACGGGAAAGGAAUCUUGGACAUCGAUACUGUUGUAGUUAGAAAAUCAGGUAAGUGGUCGAACUUGUUGUAAUGUAUGAUUACUGUCCGCGAAGUAUAUAAAGACUGACGCAAGAUGUUUCAUCUGUAAGGAGUGAUGGGUUUUGAAUGUGUGCUUUUUAAAAAGCAAUGUAUCCUGGAUUGCAUCUGAAAUUUGUUUGACAUGACUCUUAUCUAUGCGUGUGUUCGUAUUGAGUAUUUAUAGUCAACUUGGUGUGAAAUUGUAGAAUAUGGCUUUAAGAUGCUUAAAUGGAAAAGAGAUUUUCAAUGUA